AUUUUUUUUUUAUGAAUUUUUUUUUUUUUUUUUUGAAUUGAUAACAAAGGAAGAUCUUUUUUUUUUUUUGUUAAAAUUUAUUAUUUUUUUUUUUAAAGUGAAUUAAAAAAAAGUAAUUACUAUUUGUUGGCGAGCCAAUUUUCUAACUUUACACAUUUAUUCAAAUGGGGAUUUUUCUUUUUAAAAAACAUUUGAUGUAUUUCUAAUUAUUAUCUUUGGAUACUAUGCUGACUAAUUUUAAAAAAUGUAGGUUUCAGCCAUAAAAUAAACAAAAUUAAAUUACUAGUGUUAUGCUAACUCUCUUAAUUUCAAGCCAACAAAAGUUAGCAGCACUUACUAGCUGAAUAACUGAUCCUCCCUCUGAAAUAAAACAACCCUAGAACUAAUAAAUCUCAUUGAAUUAAAGAAAAACCCAGUCAAGUGGCAGCAUUAUGACCUAGACUACCACAUAUUCUUGAUCUUAGUAAGAUUUUUAAAAUGGGAGGAUCUACAUUUUGAUUUUUGUGGAUAGUAGCAUCAAGAAAUAUGCUAAGUACAAAAUACUGUUCUAUCCAUAAUAAUGUUGACUUUUUUAAUCCUUUGAACUGAAACAAAAACAAACCUUUUGAAAGCACUUUUUGGUAACUUUCGUCUUGUAUUGCAGUAAUUAAUAUAAAAAAAAAAUUUUAGGCAUUUGACAAUUAUUUGAAAGCUAUCUAAGGAUGUCUUAUUUAAACCUAGAGUUCAGUGGAUUAAAUCAGUCUCACAGUGCACUUGAUUCACUGUGUAGUUGUGUGAUUUCAAUAUUUUAGUGUCCUACAUUUCAGUGUGUUCUAGCUUGACAGUUUAGUGUUUUCUUUGGAAACUUGCAUACAUUUUUUUUUUAUUGUGCACUUUUUAAGGAAAGCAAUUUUUAAGUCUGUCAUUAGGAGAAUUUAUUUCAUUCUUACAUAUUUUUUUUUGUUAUCCCUCCAAAACACAUUUUGCUCAGAUGAUUUAAGUCUGAAUUAUUUUUAAUGUUAAUUGAUGAAACAAAGCUUUGCUAGUGCUUAACAGUUAAGCUACUUUUUAAUGAAGUGUUAUUUCUUAAGUAAAUCAGCUAGUUUGUAACUUCUGUCCGUCACUUCUGUUUUUAAAUAUUUCAACUGAAAAUUGACCCUUUCCUUUGAUUGCUUAACUGACCAUUGCUGUCCCCCAUUUUGUUUGUCUAUAUUUUUAGUUUUGAUUUCAAUAUUUUUUUUUUUCCUUUUUCAAUGAUUUAAGAGUUUGUUGGAAACAACUGCUCCUGUGGGUGUCAUCAAAUGUCAUGUUUUUAACAUAUUAAACAUAGGUUGUAGUUGCAUUUGAAAGUGUUUUUAGUUAACGGAAUUCAAAUAAUUCAAUUUUCUGAUGCCUAGAAAAUAUUUAUAAUUCUGACAAAACUUUUAUUUAUACAGUAUGUUUUUACAUACCAUUAGGCCUAUACAAUAUUAUCAGAUGUCGUCAUCAAUUAAUCAUUUUUAAGUCUUAUCAAAAUUAAUAAAAACAUUAUGAGGUUAGGAAAGUUGUUUCUAAUAAUUAACUAAAAAAAUAUGCUUUGAACUAUCUCUAGUUUUAUUCCUAUGUAUAAGUAAAAAAUACAAUAUUACAUUUUUUGUCUUGUUGCUAUACUGCAAAACUCAGUAGAUUGUUGUAUUAGUUGUGACUACUGUACCUGUGUAUUUCAUAACACUUAGUUUGACCAAACUAUUUAUGUUGUUUAACUUUUGGCAGUUUGCUCCGGGGUACAUGUAUAUCUAGAGAGAAUCAAUUGGCAUCACGUAGUUGACCCAACAAACCAGUCAUUUGAUUAACAGCUGUCAUCAAAAGUUCUAAAUGUCCCAGGUUCAAAAUCUCCCACAGUAUCAGUAAAUCCCUUUUCUUUUUUAAUCCAUAAAAAAGUUUGAUUUUGUUUUUGACCAUGUGACUGGCUUUGACCAGUGGUCCUAUGUGAUGUGAUAGAAAAUGAAAAUCAAUCCUUACAAGAAUUAGUGAGCACACACUAUUGUGUAAUCAGACGUAGAGACAAUUGUAUUGAAACAGAACACUAGUAUCUCACACAAGCAGUCUGAACACUUGUUGCAGUAGUGGCAAUUGUUCUCAUUACAACCAACUGAACACUUUUUGUUUGCCUCACCUGUUCAAAGAAGCAUACUAUCAAAAAAAUAGAGUUAAAUCAACAAUUUCUGUACGGUAUAUUUUUUUUGUUUGCUCCUACAGCUGUACUCUAGAAUCAACAUAGCCUAACUAUGAAGUAGGUUCAUGAGCUCACAUUGAAAGUUUAUGUGUGUUUUAUUUUCUCUCUAAAUAACUACAUGACCUUCUGUGUAGAACACUUGUAUUAAGCAUGCAACUCUUCCAUAAUGUCAAUUUUUUUUUCUUUGUUUAAACUUUUUAGUCUUGUGUAUAAUUUUCUCCUAAAUACUACAACAAUAGUGUUUUGAUUCAAUCAUUCUAAGGGUUUUCUAAGUUUUAUUCAGACUUGAAUGGGAGGGUUCAUAGACUGGUCAUGAGAUGAUACAAUGACUGGAAACUGUCAUCUAAAUAGAAGAGUUAGUUGCAAACAUCCUGUAGUAUUGCAAUGUACAUUUUCUAUGUCAACAAAGUCCUCAAAAAGUAUUAGCAAAGAUGAUGAAAUAAUCAAGACACAUGAUGGAUGGUGUCUAAGACUAGUGACUAGGGUUAUCCUAUGAGUAGAAGCUCUUAAUAAGUGUAAAAACACUAUUGUUUAGUUGUGUAUUGUGGCAAGUAGUUCUGGCCCACAAGAGAAACCCCAAAAUUGUUAGAGAAGUUGUCCUUUACUGGUGUAUGUUAUGAGAAGGUUAUAUGAUUCAAUAAAUGUUGUAUUCAACAAAAU